rnacentral:lncRNA from 1 species
GUCAUCUGUGACACACCCGAAAGAAAGGUUUUUCAGCCAGGGACCCAGCUACAAUGCCCAGGCUGGGAACUGUGUGGUUCAGAGGUUCAUAGAAGGCAUUUAGGAACCAGCUUAUAAAAAUUAAUGUUUUCUUCUUUUAUAGGAAAUAUGCACCAUUCUAUUUCAGUAUGGAAAAAAUACGGACCUUGUCACUGAUCAUUUUUCAUGGACUAUUUAUUUAGGUUUUGAGCAGCUCAGAAGCCUUUUUAUUCCUUUUGAGCUCCCCUUGGGAUGCUGAAGAGAAUAAAGAUUUCUCCCUUCCAAUACCGUGCACACAUUUCACUGUGGGAACUGUCACCAAACUAAACAAAAAACUGAGUCCAAGCACCUUCCACCUCGUUGGCCAAAAAAGACCCAAACGGCCCUCAUAUUUUUAUUUUUGCUUGUGCGCCUGCGAUAUUAAGCAGCUAACAACAAUCUGAGAAUUAAGUUACCACAAUUAGGAAUUAGAAGCAGGUGGCAUAAUAAUGGCGCUUUUUUCAUUUCAUUUAUUAGCAAAAAGAGAGAGAGGAGCUUCAUUUAUUUUCAUCAGCGCCUCAGUAAAAGCAUAGCAAUUUGCAACACAAAAAUCAUUUCAAGUACCUCAGCCUUGUGCAAACCUUUUUUUUUUUUGUUGUUGUUCCUUUAAAAGCCUUUUAAAGUUCACCACCUCCCCCGCCCAACCCCAUUCUGAAAGGACGUGCGUGUGUGUGGAGAGUGGCUGUGAAAGCGACACGGGCUCUGUGGGAAGAGAAGUAAGGAGGACUUCUGGGAAGGAAACGAGGUUCUCGGAUGAGCAGGGGCUGUGAUAUGAAAGUGAUCAAGAGAUGGGACCAUCUAGUUGCAAGAGAACAAGCUCAGGGCUCCCCCUGAUUCUACAUGAUGCUUCCUCCCCUUGGAUCUGGGUUGGCCCUGAGACUUGCUGGUAACACAUGGACAUGGCUGGUAACCCAUGGAAAUAAC